CCUACGGGAGGCAGCAGUGGGGAAUUUUGGACAAUGGGGGCAACCCUGAUCCAGCAAUGCCGCGUGAGUGAAGAAGGCCUUCGGGUUGUAAAGCUCUUUUGUCAGGGAAGAAACGGUUUGGCCUAAUACGCUGGACUAAUGACGGUACCUGAAGAAUAAGCACCGGCUAACUACGUGCCAGCAGCCGCGGUAAUACGUAGGGUGCAAGCGUUAAUCGGAAUUACUGGGCGUAAAGCGUGCGCAGGCGGUUAUGUAAGACAGAUGUGAAAUGCCCGGGCUCAACCUGGGAACUGCAUUUGUGACUGCAUGGCUAGAGUUUGGCAGAGGGGGGUAGAAUUCCACGUGUAGCAGUGAAAUGCGUAGAUAUGUGGAGGAAUACCGAUGGCGAAGGCAGCCCCCUGGGUCAAGACUGACGCUCAUGCACGAACGACGGUGGGGAGGACGAAACGAAGGAGUAGUAUACCUACGGUACGUACCGACCGACCCGUAAACCGAACUAGUCUACUACGUUGUUCGGGUUCGUUAA
rnacentral:rRNA from 1 species